ensembl:miRNA gga-mir-7479-1 gga-mir-7479-1
UAGUAAGCAGAGAUUUGCUAAGAAAAAACAGUGCUUGACUACUGUGGUAGCCUUUGUAGAUGUCAUGUCAUGACUGGC